rnacentral:rRNA from 1 species
UACGUAGGGUGCGAGCGUUAAUCGGAAUUACUGGGCGUAAAGCGUGCGCAGGCGGUUUUGUAAGCCAGAUGUGAAAGCCCCGGGCUUAACCUGGGAAUGGCAUUUGGGACUGCAAGGCUGGAGUGUGGCAGAGGAGACUGGAAUCCCUGGUGUAGCAGUGAAAUGCGUAGAUAUCAGGAGGAAUACCGAUGGCGAAGGCAGGUCUCUGGGCUGACACUGACGCUCAUGCACGAAAGCGUGGGGAGCAAACAGG